ensembl:lncRNA cell cycle regulator of non-homologous end joining-like
GCAUUAAGACGCGUGUCCGCUAAGUGGCGCUAAUGACUCAGUGCGGUCACAUGACUUUAACAAACUGCAACCCCCAUUUUCUGUUUUCUGUCGCUUAGUCACCUCAGUAACAUUUGCACUGAUGUUCAAAUCAUGUAGUUUAAAAUAAAAAAACCAACAUGUCAGAAAGGCACCGGGCGCUGCCGCCAUGGAUGACAAAGAAGCAAGAGAAAGGGAUAAAGAAGGAGCCCCUGAAGAGCAGGAGAAAACGGAAAACUGCACGGGAUGUUUUCUACUGUAUGAACGAGAAAGAGUUGGUAGAGGCAGCUGUUUCAUAUCUUACCAAGUCCAACGGUGCCUGCGACGACGUGGCUCUCCCGACUGACCAAAAGGUCGAAGGCAAGGCAGUAGACACCACUGUGAAAAGUAGGGAGAACCCUGCUACUUCAAAGACGAUAGCAAAGCUGGGGACUUUAGAGGAGGAUUCCUCAGACUGCGGCGAUGCCCCGGAGUCGACAGACAGAGUUUCAGAAACAGACUUGGACAUGACAGAGGUGGAAACGGUGCCGUACACUAAGAGCCCGCAGCAUCAUGGACCUGAGGGUCAGAGGUCAGGACCAGUACAGGAUCACGGUGGUCUUGUGAAUGUUGGACUACAGACUGAGGAAAAACAGAAGCACUCACAGAUACCGGCAGAGGAGGAGGAGGAAGAUGCCUUUCGGCUUGUGCGAGAAAUCUUUUUCACCUAAUGAUGAACUUUUUUUAAAACUAGAUUUGCAAAAAAAGGAACACCUACAGAAAGCUUGCCCCAGAAAACCAGAACAGUUUUGAUGUUGAGAUAACUAAUAGAGCAGAUGCUUUGAUAUUGAAUGUAAAACUGAAAGCAGCUGUGGUAGUGUUACAGUAUCACCACAGUGGUUAGAGAGAGAUGCGUUUCCAUGAGCAAACCACUGAAUACUUGACACUGGGUUUCUACUAAUUUACUGAGCACUACACUGUAGCUUUUUGUAUGAAGCAAACAACAAGAUCAUUUUGUCAGCGAAUAGGCUCCAGAUUUUUUACACAGACUAUACAGUAUACUGUUAUAUUUGAAUGGUAAUUUAUGUUCACUUGAUACUUUUGUUUUUUCCACUUUAAUAAAUGAAAUUAAAAGUAGCAGUUUUGUUUUUCCCCCUGAAUAAGCCCUGUCAAAGAAUCUGUGUCAGUGCUGACUCUUUUAGUUUACUACCUUUUUACAACGAUUUUUUUCCAUGCAGCUAUCCAUCAGCUGUGAAUAUCGGAGAAAUUAGAUCAUAUUUUUUUUUUAGAUACUUGGCUGCGGCUUUCACAAACCAGUUUGUCUAGAAUUCACAAAGACACUGCUCCAGCACGCAAAGGCAAUUACAGUGUGCUCCAGUAUACUUAACAAAAGAAGGUUAACAGGUUUAAGCAGAAACUCUGUCAUAACACACUUUGUUUCAGCAAUGCCUUAAAGCAGGGGUGGGGAACCUCCGGCCCCCGGGCCGCAUACGGCCUGCGAGACCAUUUGAUCCGGUCCUUGAGGUAAUUCAUAAACGCACGCAAAAAAAUCCACUAGAAAAAACGCAGCGUGGCGAGUGUAAAAAAGAGAAAGGUGGAUGCGGCAUCUUCCAGGAGAAAUGGACGAACGAUUAUUUCUUUGUGGAAGUAAAAGGCCAGUGUGCCUAGUUUGUGUGGAUGCGCUUGCGGUGAUGAAAAAUAAUCUCUAGCGUCAUUACACCACGAGACAUGCCGAACUGCACGAGCUGAAAGGACGAGUGCGUUUGGAUAAAGUUAACUCUCUUCAGCAGAGUUUGGCCCAACAAGCAGCUCUCUGCAGAGCGUAACAAACAUGGACAGAUAGAGAGGUAGACCACCACACCAAGAACAGACUGUUCCACCACUGCUGUGCAAUACUCACUUUAUUUUCUAUCAACCUCUUGGUACUUAUAUUAUUUUUUAUUCUAUUUAAUUAUUGAGUACUGCCUUUUUACUUCAUAUGUUCUUUUGCUGUGACAGGAUACAUUUCCCCGUUGUGGGACUAAUAAAGGAUUUCUGAUUUCUGAU